UAGGGAAUAUUGGGCAAUGGCCGAGAGGCUGACCCAGCCAUGCCGCGUGCAGGAUGAAGGCUUUCUGAGUCGUAAACUGCUUUUGCCAGGGAAGAAUAAGACUCAUGCGUGGGUCGACGACGGUACCUGGUGAAUAAGCACCGGCUAACUCCGUGCCAGCAGCCGCGGUAAUACGGAGGGUGCAAGCGUUGUCCGGAUUUAUUGGGUUUAAAGGGUGCGUAGGCGGCCGUUUAAGUCCGGGGUGAAAGCCCGUUGCUCAACAACGGAACUGCCCUGGAAACUGGACGGCUUGAGUACAGACGAGGGUGGCGGAAUGGAUGGUGUAGCGGUGAAAUGCAUAGAUACCAUCCAGAACCCCGAUUGCGAAGGCAGCUGCCUAGACUGUAACUGACGCUGAGGCACGAAAGCGUGGGGAGCGAAC
rnacentral:rRNA from 1 species